rnacentral:rRNA from 1 species
UACGGAGGGUGCGAGCGUUGUCCGGAAUCAUUGGGCGUAAAGGGCGCGUAGGUGGCCCGGUCAGUCUUUGGUGAAAGCGCGGGGCUCAACCCUGCGUCGGCCAGGGAUACUGCCGCGGCUCGAGCACUGUAGAGGCAGGCGGAAUCCGGGUGUAGCGGUGGAAUGCGUAGAGAUCCGGAAGACACCGGUGGCGAAGGCGGCCUGCUGG